GGUGGAGCAGCCUGGUAGCUCGUCGGGCUCAUAACCCGAAGGUCGUCGGUUCAAAUCCGGCCCCCGCAACCA
rnacentral:tRNA from 14 species